UUGGAGGGCAAGUCUGGUGCCAGCAGCCGCGGUAAUUCCAGCUCCAAUAGCGUAUAUUAAAGUUGUUGCAGUUAAAAAGCUCGUAGUUGAAUUUCGGGGUCAGCGGGUUGGUCGUGCCAAUGGUAUGCACUGGCCUUGCUGAUUCCUCCCUCUUGAUGAGCCGUAAUGUCAUUAAUUUGGUGUUGCGGGGAAUCAGGACUGUUACUUUGAAAAAAUUAGAGUGUUUAAAGCAGGCAAGCGCUUGAAUACAUUAGCAUGGAAUAAUGAAAUAGGACGUUUGAUCCUAUUUUGUUGGUUUCUAGGAUUGACGUAAUGAUUAAUAGGGAUAGUUGGGGGCAUUAGUAUUCAAUUGUCAGAGGUGAAAUUCUUGGAUUUAUUGAAGACUAACUACUGCGAAAGCAUUUGCCAAGGAUGUUUUCAUUAAUCAAGAACGAAAGUUAGGGGAUCGAAGACGAUCAGACACCGUCGUAGUCUUAACCAUAAACUAUGCCGACUAGGGAUCGGAUGAUGUUAAUUUUUUAAUGACUCAUUCGGCGCCUUACGGGAAAC
rnacentral:rRNA from 1 species